AUUGUAGUGGAAAUCCUUUUUUGUUUUUUCUUUAAAAACAAAAAAGAUUGUAACGAAAAG
rnacentral:sRNA from 1 species